UGUUGAGGUAAGUAUUGUGUCACAUACUGUAGGACGUGUUGAGGUAAGUGUUGUGUCACAUACUGUAGGAGGUGUUGAGGUAAGUGUUGUGACAGGAUACUGUAGGAGGUGUCGAGGUAAGUGUUUUUGUCACAUACUGUAGGAGGUGUUGAGGUAAGUGUUUUGUCUGGAUACUGUAGGACGUGUCGAGGUAAGUGUUGUGUCACAUACUGAAGGGCGUGUUGGGGUAAGUGUUGUGUCAGGAUACUGUAGGACGUGUUGAGGUAAGUGUUGUGUCUGGAUACUGUAGGAGGUGUUGAGGUAAGUGUUGUGACAGGAUACUGUAGGAGGUGUCGAGGUAAGUGUUUUUGUCACAUACUGUAGGAGGUGUUGAGGUAAGUGUUUUGUCUGGAUACUGUAGGACGUGUCGAGGUAAGUGUUGUGUCACAUACUGAAGGGCGUGUUGGGGUAAGUGUUGUGUCAGGAUACUGUAGGACGUGUUGGGGUAAGUGUUGUGUCACAUACUGUAGAAGGUGUUGAGGUAAGUGUUGUGUCUGGAUACUGUGGGAGGUGUCGAGGUAAGUGUUGUGUCACAUACUGUAGGAGGUGUUGAGGUAAGUGUUGUGUCUGGAUACUGUAGGAGGUGUCGAGGUAAGUAUUGUGUCACAUACUGUAGGAGGUGUUGAGGUAAGUAUUGUGUCACAUACUGUAGGGGGUGUUGAGGUAAGUGUUGUGUCUGGAUACUGUAGGAGGUGUUGAGGUAAGUAUUGUGUGACAUACUGUAGGAGGUGUUGAGGUAAGUAUUGUGUCACAUACUGUAGGAGGUGUUGAGGUAAGUAUUGUGUCACAUACUGUAGGAGGUGUUGAUGUAAGUAUUGUGUCACAUACUGUAGGACGUGUUGAGGUAAGUGUUGUGUCACAUACUGUAGGAGGUGUUGAGGUAAGUGUUGUGACAGGAUACUGUAGGAGGUGUCGAGGUAAGUGUUUUUGUCACAUACUGUAGGAGGUGUUGAGGUAAGUGUUGUGACAGGAUAAUGUAGGAGGUAUUGAGGUAAGUGUUGUGUCUGGAUACUGUAGGAGGUGUCGAGGUAAGUGUUGUGUCACACACUGUAGGUGGUAUUGGGGUAAGUGUUCUGUCAGGAUACUGUAGGAGGUGUUGAGGUAAAUGUUGUGAGAGGAUACUGUAGGAGGUAUUUGGGGUAAAUGUUGUGUCUGGAUACUGUAGGAGAUGUUGAGGUAAGUGUUGUGUCUGGAUACUGUAGGAGGUAUUGAAAUAAGUGUUGUGACAGGAGACUCUAGGAGGUGUUGAGGUAUGUGUUGUGACAGGAUACUGUAGGAGGAAUAAAGGUAAGUAACCACGUCAGGUUCGAAAGAGUGGACUUAGGUUUGUUUUACUGAAUAUUUCAAUAAAUAUUUGUACAAUCAUUUCAAUGGAAUCAUGUGUUAGCGGCAGAUGGAACUAAAUUCACUGUUAUAUAAACCGACAACAAUUCUAACUCAACUGUUAACGCUUUGAUAUAAACUCUAGUUGACAGAAUAGAUACAUACAACCACAACUUUGUUACUCGCCAUACUAUUUCACAAUAUAAAUAGCAACACCACGGAAGGCCUCGAUGGUGAAAUGUCAAUUUGAUCCACACGUAGAAUAUAUUUGUCAGUAGCAGUAUCCAGUAUAACAGUGUGUAGCCCAAGAAAAAUAUUCAAACAUAUUUAGUAAAAAUUGCUGGUCUAUAACAUGAUAUUUGGACAUCUAUUUUCCUGAUCUAAAAAUGCUUUCAUUUACUAAAAUUUUAUAUCUUUCGAUCAAGGCACAAAAACUAUUUUCAGGUGUAUUUGUCGGUAUGUUUUAACUUAGUUACCGGUAGAUCGGGAGGGAAAGUGUGCAUGCACCUAAUAAGCAUUACCAAUUUAGGUUACUGUGUGUAUUUGUACACUUGUGUAAUUUGCCAUUUCUAUCACCAAAACUAGAUAUCAUUACAGUCGAACCCCAAUGUCUCGAACUUGGUAGAGACAACUUCUCGGUUGUGUCGAACUCAUCAAUCUGUCCCUGCUAAUUUCCUCAUAUUUAUCAUUAUUUCUAUGCUGACGGAUGUGUCGAACAUUCGGAUAAGUCGAACCAUUCCCUUUGUCCAGACUAGUUCGACACAACGGGGUUUGAAUGCAUUUACUUGGGAUCAUUAUAAUAGCAUAUAUUGUACACCAUGAC